rnacentral:rRNA from 1 species
CUUGUACACACCGCCCGUCACACCAUGGGAGCGGGUUCUGCCAGAAGUAGUUAGCCUAACCGCAAGGAGGGCGAUUACCACGGCAGGGUUCGGUGACUGGGGUG